rnacentral:rRNA from 1 species
GUACACGCUGUGACUAGCAUAUCAAUAAGCGGAGGAAAAGAAACUAACAAGGAUUCCCCUAGUAACGGCGAGUGAAGCGGGAAGAGCUCAAAUUUGAAAUCUUAAAGGGUUUCCCUUUACGAAUUGUAGUUUAAAGAAGUGUUUUCUGUUGAGGUUUUGGUAAAAGUUCUUUGGAAUAGGACAUCAUAGAGGGUGAGAAUCCCGUAUUUGACCUUUACUUUCAACUUUGUGAUACACUUUCAAAGAGUCGGAUUGUUUGGGAAUGCAGUCCAAAAUGGGUGGUAAAUUUCAUCUAAAGCUAAAUAUUGGCGAGAGACCGAUAGCGAACAAGUACCGUGAGGGAAAGAUGAAAAGAACUUUGAAAAGAGAGUUAAACAGUACGUGAAAUUGUCAAAAGGGAAGCGUUUGACACCAGUGUUGUUUUUCUGAAAAUCAAUUAAAGAACUGUUUAUGCUAAGUUGUUUAGACUUUAUCAGCUACUGUUUAGUUUUGAGCUUUUCUUUAAUGCACUUUUCAGUUAACAAGUCAACAUCAAUUUCUUUUGCUGUAAAAAAGCUUGAGGAAGGUGGCUUGAGAUUCGUCUUAAGUGUUUAUAGCCUCUUGCCUAUGCAGUCGGAGAGAUUGAGGUCUGCAGCGUAGAUCCUUCGGGGCUAAAUGCAUUUGUGCUAAGUUAUAGCAUUUUAUAGACAACUUGUUGACUAUGAUUUGUCUUGUAGCUUACUCGCUUAUGCUAUUUUACCUACGCUUAGGAUGUUGACGCGCGUGUGUGCGUG